rnacentral:rRNA from 1 species
UACGUAGGGGGCUAGCGUUGUCCGGAAUCAUUGGGCGUAAAGCGCGUGUAGGCGGCCCGGUAAGUCCGCUCUGAAAGUCGGGGGCUCAACCCUCGGAUGCGGGUGGAUACUGUCGGGCUUGAGUGCGGAAGAGGCGAGUGGAAUUCCUGGUGUAGCGGUGAAAUGCGCAGAUAUCAGGAGGAACACCUAUUGCGAAGGCAGCUCGCUGGGACGUAACUGACGCUGAGACGCGAAAGCGUGGGGAGCAAACAGG